rnacentral:rRNA from 1 species
AGCGAACGCUGGCGGCGUACUUAACACAUGCAAGUCGAACGGGGAUCGACACGUGAGCAAUCACGUGGCGGUCUUAGUGGCGUACGGGUGGGUAACACGUGGGCAACCUGCCCUUGAGUCUGGGAUAACCUCCCGAAAGGGAGGCUAAUACCGGAUACGGUCCUCGGGUCGCGAGAUCUGAGGAAGAAAGGUGGCGCAAGCUACCGCUCUUGGAGGGACUCGCGGCCUAUCAGCAGUUGGUGAGGUAACGGCUCACCAAGGCUAUGACGGGUAGCUGGUCUGAGAGGACGACCAGCCACAC